rnacentral:rRNA from 1 species
GACAGAGGGUGCAAACGUUGUUCGGAAUUACUGGGCGUAAAGCGCGUGUAGGCUGUCCCGCAAGUCGGGGGUGAAAGCCCGGGGCUCAACCCCGGAACUGCCCUCGAAACUAGGUAGCUAGAAUCUUGGAGAGGUCAGUGGAAUUCCGAGUGUAGAGGUGAAAUUCGUAGAUAUUCGGAAGAACACCAGUGGCGAAGGCGACUGACUGGACAAGUAUUGACGCUGAGGUGCGAAAGCGUGGGGAGCAAACAGG